GAUGAACGCUGGCGGCGUGCCUAAUACAUGCAAGUCGAGCGAAUGGACGAGAAGCUUGCUUCUCUGAUGUUAGCGGCGGACGGGUGAGUAACACGUGGAUAACCUACCUAUAAGACUGGGAUAACUUCGGGAAACCGGAGCUAAUACCGGAUGAUAUUUUGAACCGCAUGGUUCAAAAGUGAAAGACGGUCUUGCUGUCACUUAUAGAUGGAUCCGCGCUGCAUUAGCUAGUUGGUAAGGUAACGGCUUACCAAGGCAACGAUGCAUAGCCGACCUGAGAGGGUGAUUGGCCACACUGGAACUGAGACACGGUCCAGACUCCUACGGGAGGCAGCAGUAGGGAAUCUUCCGCAAUGGGCGAAAGCCUGACGGAGCAACGCCGCGUGAGUGAUGAAGGUCUUCGGAUCGUAAAACUCUGUUAUUAGGGAAGAACAUAUGUGUAAGUAACUGUGCACAUCUUGACGGUACCUAAUCAGAAAGCCACGGCUAACUACGUG
rnacentral:rRNA from 1 species